rnacentral:rRNA from 1 species
UACGUAGGGUGCAAGCGUUGUCCGGAAUUAUUGGGCGUAAAGCGCUCGCAGGUGGUCCGCUGCGUCGUGCGUGAAAGACCCCGGCUCAACUGGGGGAUGUCGUGCGAUACGGGCGGACUGGAGGCCAGUAGGGGGAUGCGGAAUUCCGGGUGUAGUGGUGGAAUGCGUAGAUAUCUGGAGGAACACCGGUGGCGAAGGCGGCAUUCUGGACCGGCAUUGACGCUGAGGCGCGAAAGCCAGGGGAGCAAACGGG